AGUGAACGCUGGCGGUAGGCCUAACACAUGCAAGUCGAACGGCAGCACAGUAAGAGCUUGCUCUUACGGGUGGCGAGUGGCGGACGGGUGAGGAAUACAUCGGAAUCUACUUUUUCGUGGGUGAUAACGUAGGGAAACUUACGCUACUACCGCAUACGACCUACGGGUGAAAGCAGGGGAUCUUCGGACCUUGCGCGAUUGAAUGAGCCGAUGUCGGAUUAGAUAGUUGGCGGGGUAAAGGCCCACCAAGGCGACGAUCCGUAGCUGGUCUGAGAGGAUGAUCAGCGACACUGGAAGGGAGACAGGGUCAAGACUCCUACGGGAGGCAGCAGUGGGGAAUAUGGGACAGUGGGCGCAAGCCUGAUCCAGCCAUACCGCGUGGGUGAAGAAGGCCUUCGGGUUGUAAAGCCCUUUUGUUGGGAAAGAAAAGCAGCAGGUUAAUAACCCGCUGUUCUGACGGUACCCAAAGAAUAAGCACCGGCUAACUUCGUG
rnacentral:rRNA from 1 species